AAAGUACUCCAUCCGUCCGAAAAUACUUGUCAUCAAAAUGGAUAAAAAAGGGAUGUAUCUAGAACUAAUAUACAUCUAGAUACAUCCCAUUUUAUUGAUUUAUUGAUAACAAGUAUUUCCAGACGGAGGGAGUACGUA
rfam:Triticum aestivum genome assembly, contig: Triticum_aestivum_CS42_TGACv1_scaffold_406335_5BL